UGAUUCACAUAUCAAGUGCACCAUAAUUAUAUUUCUGUUCUUGAGCAGCUUUGUUUGUCCUGAGUUCAUAACUGCCUCAUUUUUCCCCCUUAGUGUUCUAUGCGCUUUCCACUAAUUCUGUUUCAAACCUUCAGUCUGUUCAGACACAACUCUAUGAGAUAAUUUAGUUUCACGUAUUUUUCUCAAGGCUCUCUCUUCUGGUGCCCCUCUCAUCCUGUUGAAUCUGGGCUGAUUGGCUUCUAUCUCUCUGCAGAACUGACUUAAUCUUGGAUCUCCCAUCAGCAUUAUUCUAGGAAUUCCCUUUUCCCCACAUUUCCCAGAUUCCUUAUUUUCUCUUUCUUGGGUUACUCUUUUGUUUAGAAGAACGCAACCUCCAUUAACUUUUUGUGAAAAGAAUCUUUGGAGGUAAAUGUCUUCAGACUUUUCAUGGCUUUAUUCUACACUCACACUUGGCUGCUUGUUUGGCCGUCAUAGACUUCCCUAUAGCAUUCCUUCGCUACAGUUCACUGCUGAGACUCCUGAGGCCAGGGCGACUGCCAGUCCUCUGUGUAUGACCUUUUUCUCCUCCACCACUGCUUCCUCCUUCUUCCUCUUCUCCUCUGUGAAAGUUUCUCAGAUCAUCUCAGAGCUCCCACUGUUCUGAAAUUUCCCAAUGAUGUUCUUAGUAUGAGCCUUUUUAAUGUGUACUCAGUGGGCCCUGUUAAUUUGAUAACUCAUAUCCUUCCGUAUUAUUUCUUUGAUAAUUUCCUCCUUUCUGUUUUCUCUGUCCUUUCUUUUAGGAACUCCUACUAGUUACAUGUGUGAGGUCCUGCGUUCAUUCUUCAACAUCUCCAAACAGCCCUUGUCUUAAGCCCUGGUGGCAAGUCAGCAGUCUGAAUCCACCAGCCGCUCCUUGGAAACCCAAUGGGGCAGUUCUACUCUGUCCUUAGGGUCUCUCUGAGUUAGAAUUGGCUCUAUGGUAAUGGGUUUAUUGGUUAAAUAUUGCCCUCAUCAUCUUAUUUUCUUAUAUUUUCUCUCACAUUUUCUAACUACCUCCUGUUGGUUCUGUUGUGUGAGUUUCUUCAACCUUAUCCUCCAACUCUUGUAUUGACUACUUCAUUUUGCUUUUUAAUUAACAAAAGCUCUUCCUUGUUCUUUGAAUCCUCCUUUUUUAAGUCCUUCAAAAUAACUUAUCCUAUAUUUUUAAGGAUGUUAAUUACUUGAGGAAUUUAUUUUUAAGCUUGCUUCUGCCCUCUGCAUUAUCUUUCUUUGCUCUGAGUUACAUUUUUCUGGGUUCGUUUUUGUUGUUGUUCUUUCUUUCUUACAUUAUGGUCUAUAGGGUCUCUGUGAGUCAGCAAUGGUUUUGGUUUUGGAAUUUUUGCCUUAGAGAUUUUCCUAAAGGCUUGAUGAUCCUUGGUUGUCCAUUCUUAUGUAAGAGUGCAGAGUUAUAAUAAUAUUUACAAGGUAAUUGCGCGAGACACUUCCUCUCAACUGUUGAGCUUCAUCAUAGAUUGAGACCUGGUUAUUUCCAAGGGGAACCUCUUUAGGUCUUCUCUUUGGUGAGUUUCCCCAAGAAAGAAGCAUCUAAGCUCCUGCUGGGGGAGUUUAACCAUGACUAUCUACAUUCCAAGAGCUGCUUCAGGAAAUGGAGCUAGGGAUAUCGAUGGUUGUAUCCACCCUUCAAGUGAUUUAUGAACAUCAGUGAAGACCCCCAUACAACAAGGUAUUGAACUGUUCUGGAGGUAUUUCUUAGGCCCUGGAGGUAUUCAGUUCAGCGAAAGAAUGAAACCCAAAGUUUUAUCUUUCUCCUCCACUGAUGGGAACCACAUUUUCACUGCUUCCAGCUUUCCAGGUCUCCUGAAACCUAAAAAGAACACUGGUGGCUGGGGUUUAGCCAGAAUUUGUAUCAGUAGAGAGAUCUUGAGAUUAAGACUGGAUUCAAGUCUCAGCUUUGCCACCUACUGUGUGUGAGUGACCUUGAUCAUGUCCUUUAACUUCUCUGAGCUGUUUCCUCAUCUUUAAAACAAGGGUAAUUACAAUAACUACUUCUCAGGGUUUAUGUGAGGCUCAGAUAAGUAAACAGACAUGAAACUUCCUUGUAGGUACUAAAUCAACACUAUGGGGGCAGAGGGGGAGAGGAGCUUUAAAGCUUGAUUCCUACAUCUCCUGUCAAGAUUCACACAGAAUUGGCAUUAUCAAGGUUAUUUUAAAGAGAGAAAUUAAGACCAGAAAACCUCAUGGAAUUUCCUACCUGCUUUUUAGCCAGUCUGUACAGCAUCUGGAAACCCUGGUGGCGUGGUGGUGAAGUGCUAUGGCUGCUAACCAAAAGGUCAGCAGUUCGAAUCUACCAGGUGCUCCUUGGAAGCGCUAUAGGGCAGUUCUACUCUGUCCUAUAGGCUCUCUAUGAGUCAGAAUCGACUCGAUGGCAAUGGGUUUUUUGGGUUUGGUACAGCAUCUACUAGAAAUGAAUCUAGAUGUUUAGAAAUAGUCCUUUAGGCCACGAGUAGCAUGUGUAUGUUCCAAAUCAAACCAAACCCCUUGCCAUCGGGUCAAUUCUGACUCAUGGUGACCCCAUGAGUUCCGGAGUGGAACUGCUCCAUAAGGUUUUUCUUGGCUGUAAUCUUUAUGGAAGCAGAUAGCCAGGCCUUUCCUUUCAUGGCACUGCUGGGUGGGUUCGAACCACCAACCUUUAGGUUAGUGUUUAGUGCAAAUCAUUUGGCCACCCAGGUGUAUGGGUAUAAAAACUCAUUGCCAUCAAGUUGAUUCUGACUCAUAGUAUGCCUAUAAGACAGAGUAGAACUGCCCCAUGAUGUUUUCAAGGAGCAGCUGGUGGAUUCGAACUGUCAACGUUAUGGUUAACAACCGAGCUCUUAAGCACUGCACCACCAAUUUAUGCCCAAAUAUCGAGUUCAGAGUCUUGUUAAACUCAACCCAAUUAACUCAAUCAAUAAACCACUACUGCAUGUUCAGCUCUGCCCAGAUACAGAAGGAGAAACAUCCCUGCGCUAAAGAGAGCUGAUGUCUGAAUCAUUUAGUGGCUGUCCUAUUCGAAAAAAUGGAGGAGUGGGGGCGGUGUUGCCAUAAGGCUAGUAAUAAGAGGAGGCAGGAAUCUCACUGGAAUCAGGGAACCAAGCAGCACCAAAAUUAAACAUCUAAGGAGCUCUGGGGAUGGGCUUACCAUAUGUCUCUCAGCACUGGGGCUUGUGGAUCUAUAACUAGUUAGGUGCUAUCAAUGUGACUCAACUGCUCUCUUAGUCCCUGCUUCUCAGAUGAAUGCUUGAGAAGGAAAACCUGAUCGGUCUUUGUAAUUAUCAAGACCCAUGUUUAGGGAGAGUUCGUGUGGCUGGGCCACCUCUAAACUCUCUGACCACCUGUGACCUGGCUACCCUGGGCCAAUGUCCACUCAGCUAGAACCAGUGAGUCACUUGGUACAGAGUGCCCCUGUUUAAGGAACAGUCUGGAGCUGCUCCCCUCUACAGGGAUUCUAGAUGGGCCAGUUUACUUCAGAAGAGGUUGUUAGCCUGCAAAUACCAUAAUAAUCUUCUUUAACAAACACUUUCCCUAUUGCUCUCCCUCACAUACACCUGGAGAACAUCAAGGGUAACAAACCAGUCAUAUGGGCUAGAGUAAUUGGGAAUAAAAAAAAAAAAAAAAGGCUUUCUAAAACAGGGGAGUCCCUGGGUGGUGCAAUGGUUAAUGCGCUUGGCUGCUAACAGAAAGAUCAGAGGUUGGAGUCCACCCAAAAGUGCCUCGGGAGAAAGGCGUGGUGAUCUACUUCAAAACAAUCAACCACUGAAAACCCUGUGGAGCAUAGCUUUACUCUGACACACAGGAGGUCACCAUGAGCUGGAGUUUACUCCAUGGCAACUGUCUUUUUUUGUGAUUUUGUUGUUGUUGUUCCUAAAAAGGGUGGGAAGAAAAUCAAACCUUGAAAAUGGGCUGGACAUUAGAUAGAGAAAGAAGAUGGAGACAUUCCAAGCAGGUGGAAUUGAAUGAACAAAGGCCAAAUUCCCAAACUGAACCUCUGGCAAGAGUUCCCUUAAGUGUAAUAGCCAGGAGUCACUGCAUCUCCUUUCAAGUUGGGAAUAAAAUAGUAAAGGGAAAACUGAUCACUUCUUCUGUGAAGGAGUGACUCUCCCUGUUGCUGGAUAUUGAUGUGUGUAUUAAUAUAGCUGAGGGUCCUUUCUAGAUUCUUCCAUACUCAAAAUCAUGCUUUCUUCAUUAAAUUAAUGCUAUUUCUCCCUGCCCCAGUGCUUGGCCUGCUGAUGUUAUUCCUAAGAAGAAUAAUAGCAAAUAAUAAUAGCUAACAUCUGUAGACAACCUUAGUGACAGGCAUUGUGUUCAACUCUUAAGUGUAUCAUCUCAUAGAAUCUUUAAUAUAACGUGUGUUGUAAGAAAGAACUUUGCAAAGCUAAUCAUUAACAAGAAAAGGAAGACUUCCGCAAAGAAGUAAUAUUUAAGCUGGGUCUUCAAAGAAGGUGCUGGAGUUUUCCUGGUAUUCAAGCCUAGGAAAGGCAUUACAGGCAGUGGGACUGGCAUCAGAGAUACAGGAACAAUCAUGGUGUGUUCCAGAAACAGCAGUGAAGUUGGAUGAUAGGAUACUUGUGGGCAGGGGUAGAAGGGGCUAAAAGAAGCCAUACUGCAAGGAGUUUUAUAGCAAUUUUAUCAAUUAGCAACAAGGAGCCAUUGAAGUGCUUUAACAGGGGAGAGGCAUUAUCAGAUUUACAUCUUAGGGAGAUGCUUUUUUUUUUUUUAGGGCAGCGUGGAGCAUGGAUUGACGGAACAGGAGCCUGGAGGGAGGGGCUGCCUUUUGACAAAGUCCGACAAAGAAAUGCCGUAGAACAAAACUGAGGCAGUGACAGAGGAGACAGAAAGGAAGGGACUCAGUCAGGAGUGAAGAUCAAGAUACAGUCCCCGCUUUCAGGGCUUAGAACCAGCAAGGAAAGGAAAAGCUGGCACACAAAUGCCAGUGACACCAGUUGUGGGGGUGUAAGGCCACGUAGACAGUAGAUAGAAUGGACAGGGGACAAGUUUAGUUAGAAUGAGAGAGGACUUCCAGCCCAAAGGGGCUGGUAUUUGCCUUUCAAACCAACAAAUGAGCAGGAUUUUAAUAGGCAGGAAUGUGAAGAGCAUUCCAGAAGGGAGCAGCAAAGGCAAAGGCUUAAAUAAACCCAGAGUAAAGGCUUGUUGGGACAGGUGGCAGAGUGGGGAACAACCUCACCACACUGUGCUCCAGCCCUGCGGAGUCCUGAGCAGGGUCCUGUCUGCUUUCCCACUCACCCUGGUAGACCCUCAGUGAUAACCCCUUCCCAGUUGAGGUAGAAGAAAUUAUACAUGGUCUUUAUCACCUAAAACUGCAGGUAACGGUCUGUACAUGCUCAAGGGCCUGGAAUAACACUCUCAUAACAACCUCUGGAGAGUCCCUGGGUGGUGCAAAUGAUUAAUGCGCUAAAAGGUUGGAGGUUCGAGUCUGCCUAGAGGUGCCUUAGAAGAAAGACCUGGUAAUCUACUUCCGAAAAUCAGAGAUCGUAAACCCUAUGGAGCUCAGUUCUACUUUGGCACAUAUGGGGUCACCAUUAGAGCUGGCUUGGCAGCAACUGUUUGGUUUUUAACAACCCCAUGAAUGUGGCACUGAGACGCUUCAUCAAAAGGAGUUUAAGAUACAAAUCUGUUGGGCUUCUCUCAGCCUGCUCAACACCCCGUUUCCUGGGGUCUUUUGGGCAAAUGGCCCUACCAGGCAGUUCAGCGCUUGACUGUCCCGGGUCUUCUCUGAUUGUUUUGAGAAUGAGUCUUCCAUCCUCAAGAAACUGAACGGUAAGUCAGGGACUGAGGCAGUCUACUGUGUCUGUGUAGCUGUGACUCCCAAGUCUUUCUCUUGGAGAAGGCACAGGGCUCCCUGCCUGCCAGCUCUCUGUGUUUCCCCACCUGGAGCAGGAGGACCCGCAAACUGCGAGACCUCGCCCCCUCCUUCCUCCGCCUCUGUUUAUUCACAGGCAGCCCAGAAGGCCGGUUAGCAGUAAAUGAAGCAUUUACCCUUUAAUUCUCAGAUGUAUGUGAUCUGAAAAAAAAAAGAGAGAGAGAGAGAAGAAAAUAUCCCAAAGACGUCAGAGGGAGCGAAUGUGGAGAACAGAUGCUGCUACUUGUUUUUGUCCCUGUUUUGUCUUUUAAAAAUACAUAAAACAUGAGUAAUUAAGGAGAAGCAGUUCCAGCUUUUAGGAAAAUCAACAAGGAGGUAUUUUAAAGUUUGAGCCAAACUUCUUACAUGUUGUUUCGAUACUCGACCUGCUUUGUGGAAUCAUAAAAUUCUAGAGCAAGAAUAGAACUGGAGAGCUACUUAUUCCAGUUCCUGGCUUUUAAGUUGGCGAAUGAACCGUUCAGUAUAGAAAAUGCCCUUUUCCUUGUUUACACUACGUUUAGAAUUUGCCCUUGCUGCCCUGUUGGCCUCGUUUUAUCAUCCAGACAGUCACAAAGUAUUUCCUUAGCUACAAAUAGUCACUCACUCAUUUUAUCCACUUAGUAAAUAUUUACUGAGCGUCUGCUAUGUGCUAGAUGCUGUGUUAGAUCCCAAAGGCUCAAAGUCCUGGUUCCUGAGUUGCAUUUACAUGAUUUGUUUUACAACAGGUACAACAUACGGGCUGCUGUGGAGUCAAGAUUCCACCUCAUGAAAACCCCAUGUGCGUCAGAGUAGAACUGCGCUGUGUAGGAUUUUCAACGGCUGAUUUUUCAAAAGUAGAUCGCCAGGUCUUUCUUCUGGGUGGAAACAAACCUGCAGCCUUUCAGGGUGUAGUAGCCAAGUGUGUUAACUCUUUAUACCACCUAGGGGCUCCAGUUACAAUAUCCAAAACCAAAAAUCAGACCAGUUGUCUCAGAGUCGAUUCCAACUCAUGGGACCCCACGCAUUACAGAGUGGAACUGAACUCCAUAGGGUUUUCUUGGCUGUAAUCUUUACAGAAGCAGAUCACCAGUCCUUUUUUCUGAGGUGCCAGUGGGUAGGUUCAAACCUUUGGGUUAGUAACUGAGCGCAAACCAUUUGCAGGGAUUUAAGUUACAAUGCAGCUCGGGAUAAUAUGAUGGAGGUGGCCGUGAAGAGGGAGGGGCAGUGAGUAGGGAUCUAAACCAGACUGAGGGAGAAACAUGCUUCACCAUGUACAUCAGAUCAGCUGCACCAACAUAAAUACGUAACAUAACAGCAUCUGUAUGUUGUUCUUCAGUUUUAAAAGGACAUUCCCAGUGGUCUCGUUGAUGUUGGCAGCAACCAUGUGAGUAGGUCUUGUUAUUAUGUUUGAUUCACACGUGAGGAAAUGGAGGCUCAAGUUUUCAAACAUUGCAGGUGCCUGACGGGAAGCACAUGUGGGUCUUGGGACUCCAGGUCUCUUGUUCUCCUCUCUCCCUGACACGAGCUGUCUAUUACCAUUUCAAAACCAUGAACUAAUAUGACAGAGCAUGUCUGAUGCCAGGCACAAUGGUAUCACUUCAGCUAUCCAUGGUUCUUGACCUAGUGUAGUGACCCAAAACUUUAUUCCUGAAGUCUGAACCACUAGCAGCGCUUCCUGUGUUGGACAACUUGAAGCACUUAUUGAUGAAGGUCAAAGACUACAACUUUCAGUAGGGAUUAUGCUUGAAUAUGAAGAAAACAAAAAUCCUCACAAUUGGACUGAUAGACAACAUCAUGAUCAAUGGAGAAAAAAUUGAAGUUGUCAAUGAUUUCAUUCUUCUUGGAUGAACAAUCAAUGUCAAUGGAAGCAGCAGUCAAGAAAUCAAAUGACAUAUGGCAUUGGGCAAAUCUACUUCAAAAGACCUCUUUACCUAGGGAUAUACCCUAGAGAUCUGGUAGCAGUGACUUGAACAGACAUAUGCACACCUAUGUUCAUUCCAGCAUCAUUCACAAAAAAUAGAAGCCACCUAAGUGCCCAUCAAUGGAUGAAUGGAUAAGCAAAUUGUGGUACAUACAUACAACAGAAUAUGACACAAAUAUAGAGAAUAGUGAGGAGUUCGUGAAACAUUUUAUAACAUGGAUGAAUCUGGAGGACAUUAUGCUGAGUGAAAUAAGUCAAUCACAAAAGGACAAAUAUUAUAUGGUCUCACUAUUACAAAAAGUCAGGAAUAGGUAUAUACGAAAAAGCAAUAUGCUUUGAUGGUUACCAAGGAUGGAAGGGGGAGGAAGGGGAAAUCACUUUCUAGGUGAUGGGAAAGUCAAUACCAAAUAUGGGUGAAGUUUGCACAACUUGACCAAGGUAAAUGGAGACACUAAAAAGUACACAAGAAUAAGGGGCAAUUUCAGUAAAUGCUGUAACAUAAACAAUUUUGCAACAACAGUAAUAACAGCCAAAAAAUAUGUAUGUAGUUACAUAGGUAGGUAUGUAGGCAUAUAUGUGUAUGGGAAGACAUAUGUGAGUACAUGCUUGCGCAUGUGUAGGUGUAUCUGUAGCCAUAUGUAUGUACAUGUUUGUAUGUGCUGCAUAUAUAUUCACAUAUAUAAGAAAGCAUGUAAGGGACACAGUUACGGAGACAUUCUAGACAUACCCAAACACUUCACAGGAUUGGUUUACCAGGUUAAAAGGCUUAGGACCAUAGUCUUGUGGGUCAACUCAGUCAAUUGGCAUAACAUAGUUCCUAAUGUUCUACACCCUAAUUUGGUGAGUAGUGUCUGGGGUCUUAAAAGUGGCCAUCUAAGAUACAACUCUUGGUGUCUACUAGUCUGGAGCAAAAGAGAAAGAAGGAAACCAAAGACUCAAAUAAGAAACUAUAGGAUUAAGAGACCACACAAACCAUGUUCUCAUCUAUCCUGAAACCAAAAGAACUAGAUGGUUCCUGGCUACCACUACCGACCGUUCUGAUCAGGGACACAUUAGAUGGUCCUAGUUAGAAUGGGAGAAAAAUGUAGAACAAAACUCAAAUUCUUAAAAAAGGCCAUAGUUAUUGGACUGGUAGAGACUAGAGGAACCCCCAAGACUGUUGCCCUGUGAUACUAUUUAAACUUGGAACUGAAACCACCCCUGGAGGUAACCUUUCAGCUAAAUAGCAGAUUGGAUCAUAAAAUAAACAAUAUCACUAGCGAGUACUGAACUUUUUAAAAAAAUAUAUAAUCUAUAUGAGACCAAACGGUCAACACUUACCCUAAAGAAAAGAUGACAAGGUAAGCGGGGGGCAGAGAAGCUAGAAUAAUGGAAACAGAACAACCGGAAUGACAGUAAAGAAUAUUGACACAUUGUGAAAAAUGUAACCAAUGUUACUGAACAGUAUUAUAAAAAUUGUCAAAUGUGAACCUAAUUUGCUGUGUAAACUUUCACCAAAAACACAGUAAAAUAUUAUUUAAAAAAUAAAAUAAGUACAACUUAUUAGCUAUUAGCAUAUGAACAUUUUAGUACUUCAGACAACUAUUGUGCAAUUAAGUGCAAUGACUGGCAUAUGGUAGCCUCUCAAUAAAUGAUGACUUAUUUGUGAUAUUAAAAAAAAAAAAAAGACCUCUUUAAAGUUUUUAAAAGCACAGAUAUCACUUCAAUGACUAAUGUGCUCCUAGCCAAAUCCAUGGUAUUUUCAAUCACCUCAUAUGCAUGCAAAAGCUGGACAACGGAAAAAAAGGCAGAAAGAGAAGUGAUGUAUUUGAACUGUGGUGUUGGCAAAGAAUAUUAAAUACACCGUGGACUUCCAGAAGAAGGAACAAAUCAGUCUUAGAAGAAAUACCAACAGAAUGCUCCUUGGACACAAGGUUGGUGAAACUUCAGCUUACUUAUUUUGGACACAGCAUCGGGAAAACCAUUCACUGGAAAAGGACAUUAUAUUUGGUAAAGUAGAGGAUCUGCAAAAAUAAGGGAAACCUUCGCUAAGAUGGAAUGACACAAUAACCACAACAAUGGACUCAAACAUACCAAUUAUCAUGAAAAUGACGCAAGACCAGACAACAUUUUGGUCUGUUACGCGUAAGGUCACCAUGAGUUGGAGCCAAUGCAUAGCAAGAACAAAAACGACUGUUUUGAACUGCUAUAUUUUUCAAUUUUCUUUUUUACUGGCAUGAUAGUACUAACAGGCACCCUCCAAAACUCUCUAGAUUCUAAAUAUACGCUUUCUUCACCCUGUCUUAAAGCAGCAAGCCUAUUUGAGGAUUGGUUAUACCAGAAAGUACAGUAAAACCUUUCUUAACCUCUUGGUUCAGUGACUUGAGAAAAACAAAACUGAGAACCUCUCUUUCAUUGUAAUGUCCCAUGAAGAAAAUUUUCUCACUUGGAAACUAAGAUCUCUAAACCAGCAGAGCCCAAAGAUGCAAGCACGUGGAGUAAAUUUCUUCAGGUCCUCUGUUAGGAAUAACAGUUGUAGAAUAGAGGUACAAGAAGCCAUUUCCCCUCUAGUUCCUAGACCAAUGUAUUCUGCAUUAUGGAUUGGUCAUUUGUUCAAAGCAUGUAAUAUAUUUUGUAGGAUAGCUCUCCACUCACAUAAUCUUCUCUCUUCCUGCUGGCACGAUAAUUGAGCCUUCAUCAAGCCAUGCUACCAUAUUGUAAAACCAGAUGCUUCUAUGAGAUGGAGUACAAAAUAAAGCCAGUGAAACUUGUGGGCAUGAAAACAUUACCACACUUUUUUGUUGUAAAAUUAAUUCCUUGGUCACAAGCAAUAUUGUGUGGAACACUAUAUGAUAACUAAGUUCACAGAUGGUGAAGCUGGCAAAAGCAUAGUAGGCAGGAAAAGCAAGUCCAUAUCUGGAGUAAGUGUCUAUUCCAGUAAGAACAAAAUGCUGUACUCUUCUUGAUAUAAAUGGCCCAAUAUAAUCAACCUGCCACCAGGUGUCCAUCUGAAAAAUGAUGUUAUAUCAGACUCAGACUUAGCUUCUGCUAUUAGCAUAUUGGAGACCCAGCAGUGGCACAAGACAGAUUAGCUUUUAGAAGAGGAAGUCCAUGUUGCUGAGCCCAUGCAUAACUUUUAUCGCUUCCACUAUGGCCACUUUAUUAAUCAAUCCACUGAGCAAAAGUUGGGCUGACUGAGGAAAGGGGUUGAAGGACAUUCACAGAAAUGAUUAUCUUGUCCUCUUGAGUCUUCUCUAUAGUAGAUGCCCUUUAGUGAGCUCUCACAUGGGGCAAGUAUCUUCUCACGCUAUUCCCAUUUUGGAGAUCCAUCCUUACACCCCUCCUCCAUACUUCUGUGUCACCAAUCCUUUCAAAUUCCUGAUCACGAGUGGCAUAGAUUGAUACCUGUAGACAUCCUUCCAUCCAGCCAAAGUAAGAAACUAGAUGCACUACUUCAAGUUAUGGCAACUGGGAACAUUUUUUUUACUUA